CACCAGAAAGCCACGGCUAACUACGUGCCAGCAGCCGCGGUAAUACGUAGGUGGCAAGCGUUGUCCGGAAUUAUUGGGCGUAAAGCGCGCGCAGGCGGUCCUUUAAGUCUGAUGUGAAAGCCCACGGCUCAACCGUGGAGGGUCAUUGGAAACUGGGGGACUUGAGUGCAGAAGAGGAAAGUGGAAUUCCACGUGUAGCGGUGAAAUGCGUAGAGAUGUGGAGGAACACCAGUGGCGAAGGCGACUUUCUGGUCUGUAACUGACGCUGAGGCGCGAAAGCGUGGGGAGCAAACAGGAUUAGAUACCCUGGUAGUCCACGCCGUAAACGAUGAGUGCUAAGUGUUAGGGGGUUUCCGCCCCUUAGUGCUGCAGCUAACGCAUUAAGCACUCCGCCUGGGGAGUACGGCCG
rnacentral:rRNA from 1 species